GGGCAACGAGAUCGAACAGCGCGCGGGCUCCUCCGUUCUCCAAUGGCUGCACGCGGCCUACGGGGCCGGGGGUUUUGCCGCGGCGUUGACGACGGGAGUCGCGCUCACUCUCGGUGCCUCGUUUCGCGCCGCGCUCGUGGUCGCAGCCGCGGCACAGGGUGUGGCCGCGCUCGCCGCGUGGAGGUCGCGUCCACUGGCCGCGCCUGGAGAGGCGCGUGCGGCCGGCCGCGUCUCUCUUGCCGUCUUCGCCGCUCGGCCCGGGCUGCUGGCUCCCGCUCUCGUCGUGCUGUUCGCGUUCUUCAUCGAUG
rnacentral:misc_RNA from 1 species